rnacentral:sRNA from 1 species
UGAGGAGGAGCCAUCAUGCGAAGCAUGAUCUUUAAAUGGCUCCGACGACAGGCCGCCGAACGAAGUGAGGGGGCGAUACCUAU